CUGCUGGCAGCAGGAACAGACCCUGGCACUUGUGAGCGGCAGGGGCGCAGCCCGCAUGGCCUGGGAGAGCAGGGGAGGCCGGCCAAGGAGCUGGUAAAGGGAAGCCGGAUCCCGGAUGGCCAGCUGCGCCGACAAUUGAGAGGACUGAGGCAUUAACUCUGCAUGAAACGACAUUUCAUAAAAGGGAAUCAUGGUGUGUUUUCAUGGACUCCAUUUCCAUUUCAUAACUGCUAUGAAGAUCAGCAGGAAGGGACGCCGUUUUUGGGAACCUGCCCAGGACACCAUCAAGACAAGCUGUCCAGAGCGGAGACUAACUGGGCUGGUGCUCCAGAUGCGACGGGAGCAGACUGGCGCUGAGCUGCGGGCACCGCGCUCGGUGUUUCGGCUGUCACUGCUCCCUCCCACACACCCAGCUGAAGGCUGAGACGUCUUCCAUGAGCCAUUCCAAGAAAGCAGUGUCAUCUGAGAGACAUGGCCCUGCUUUCUUCAUACUGAACCCAGGCCAGACAGCAGCUUGGGUCUGUCUUGCUACCUGUCAGAGGGCCUUCACGGGCCAGCACCCCGAGGGGCAGGAAGUGGCUAGAGAAGACAUGUGUCCCCGCCCCUUCCCUCUACCCUCCCAGUUCCUGUCUCAGCAUUUAGGUUAUAAAUGAGAGGGAAAAAGAGCAACAACUUUGUAAAGAAGCCACAGGCCACUGCCUUUGUUCACUCUCCUACUUGGUAAAUUUUGGGCAAAAUGAUGUGCUAGGAGAAGCUAUUUUAACAGGGCAAAGCAUUGCAGAAGCUGGAAGCAGCGCUCUGGCUGAAGCAGGGGUGGAGGAGGGGCAGCACCAGCAGACUCGGGUGUCAGCACCGCCGGAGGGUGGACAGUUCUGUGAUCCUGAAGAGAAGGUCAGAUGUGCUUCCGGGGCAGCGAGGACCCUUUCAUGCUUUGGGUCUGAAUUCUGUGUCUGGUUGAAGGGUCCUGAGGAUGAUUCUUUUGAAGAGUUUGAAGCUUGGGUUUUGGACACAAGUCUGAAGGUCACCACCUGUUUCUUUCUUUCUAAUCCUAAGAUAUGCUUGGCAUCUUGGCAAACUCCGUGAGUCUGCCAAAGGAAACACUACCACUGAGUGAAUAGCUGCCAUGUGCCAGCACUGUCCUUGGCACACUGUGACAUUACCUAAUUCAAUCCAUUAACAACGUGCAGGUAGAAGCACCAUGCCUAUUUUCCUGAGGUUCAAAGACACAAGAGACUCUAAAGUCUCUGAGGGCUUGAGUGAGAGACAGGAACCCAGGCCUGGCCUCUGUGACCCCAGAGCCUGCCUGGUCCGAGCAGGAUGUUACUCAGCUCCCCAGGGCUGUGCCUGGAGAGAGUUCCUUACUCAAUCAGAACUGGAGAAUCACAACCCUAACCUUUGCAGAGGAUGGGCAGCAAAUCUCAAUCAGCCUCAGGAUAAAAGGGGCACGCUCUACCUGUGCUGCGGGGGGACAGUUUAAUUGUCUGCAAAUUUCUGCAAAUGAAUGGGGCAGCAGAAAUCAAUCUCCAAUUUAUUCCAUUCUGGCGGCUGAUCUCAUUGUGCUGAGAGGAGGAGGGUUCUGUGUUUCUCAGUUCACAUUUCAUAUUCAAUCAAACGCAGGAUUCAGCCAGCUUUCUGUACAUAGGGUGAAAUUUAAAGUCGCUGUAUUACCUCCUGGCGCUGAAGUUUGCCUACUUAAAGGAAGGACAGACCGCAAAUACCAAACUUUGAGCAGGAAAUUUAGGAGGUUGGAGGGCUAACACACUAAGUUUGUGUCGUUUCCAGGUAUCUCUUUCCCUGAUAUUCUGGAGGCCAAGUAUCAGCUGAGCUGAGUCAUCUGUUGCAGGUUUAUAGGACAGUUAUGCUAACAAUAAAAUGUGGUGACAUAGAAAUUGUCCAUUAGUUUGCAAGUGUUAUGGAGCUAAUUUUAAA